AUCCACUCUGCUGGAGUUUUGUAAGCGAGCCCAGGAUAUGGGGAUUCAUGGCUGCUGCUCUGAGAUUGCUUUUCUGGUCUGAUUGACUCAACUGGUGUACGUAGAAUACAGGAACAGUCCUUGAGAAAAGAAACAAGUUGUGACAGCAGCUCACAGCUGAGCUGACCAUCAUCACAGCUCAGCUGAAGCUUAGGAUGUAAGUUCCAUCUAUUUCCAGAAAGACGUGAGUUGCGGAGGCGUAAAGCCCAGGUUAUGGCUGAGCUGAGGAUCUUAUGCAGCUUUUAUGAAAUAACCUAUAGAUGUUCCUGCUGAUGAGUAGUACCUCAGAUGAAAUGAGCAUGUCCUAAGAGAUUUGGAAUAAGAACCAGUCAACAGAAGGGAACUGAUGCCAGAUUUGUUAGCGUCUCGGUAGCUUGAUGGCUCUCAAUUACUCUGUCUCUAAACCAAAGCCAUCUUUCUACCAAAGCAAUAAAGGGACAGUGCACAAUCUGACUACAGAAUGCAGUUUCCAAAGAAGUGAACUGUAAAGAAAGACUCAUGAAUUUUGAUCACAGGAUCUUGGAGAGCAUCUCUGAUGUCUGCUCCACUGAGGACCUCCCUGAGGUAGAGUUGGUGAGCAUGCUAGAGGAACAGUUGCCAGAUUACAAACUACGAGUGGACUCUCUGUAUCUUUAUGAAAAUCACGACUGGAUUCAGUCUCCUACCCACCGUGGUCAUCUUCCUGAAAUCUCUUCUCCGGUUCAUGAUGAGGAGACCUUCCGUUACAUGAUUCUAGGUACAGAUAAUAUGGAGCAGAAAACCUACAGUGAUGCUGAUAUGGUCAGACAUCUGCUAGCUGAGAAAGAUCGGGACCUGGAACUGGCAGCACGAAUUGGACAAGCCCUGCUUAAGCGAAACCAUCUGUUGACGGAACAGAAUGAAGCACUAGAAGAACAGUUAGGACAAACUCUAGAUCAAGUUAACCAGCUCCAGCAUGAACUGUCAAAGAAGGAUGACCUGCUUCGUAUUGUUUCAAUUGCUUCUGAGGAAAGCGAAACAGAUUCUAGCUGUUCCACACCACUUCGUUUCAAUGAGUCUUUCAGUGUAUCACAAGGUCUCUUGCAGCUGGAUAUCUUGCAAGAUAAACUCAGGGAGUUGGAGGAAGAGAACCUUGCUCUCCGAUCGAAGGCCUGUCAUCUGAAGACAGAAACCAUUACGUAUGAAGAGAAGGAACAGCAGUUAGUUAAUGACUGUGUCAGAGAGCUCCGGCAAACAAAUGCUCAAAUUUCCAGAAUAACAGAGGAGUUGUCAGAGAAGAGUGAGGAACUGGUCCGCUACCAAGAAGAGAUUUCAUCCCUUUUGUUUCAGAUUGUUGAUCUUCAGCAUAAACUCAAAGAACAUGUGAUUGAGAAGGAAGAGCUGAAACUUCACUUACAAGCUUCCAAAGAUGCUCAGAGACAACUGACAGCGGAGUUACAUGAGUUGCAAGAUCGGAAUGCAGAGUGUUUGGGGAUGCUGCAUGAAUCUCAAGAAGAAGUGAAGUUGCUGCGCAGCAGAGCCAGCUCUGUUGCUUGUCUCUGCCACCCUCAGGAUUCCCUUGCAGCAGAAAUUGAAGGGACAAUGCGGAAAGAACUGAGUCAGGUUGAUGAAUCUCUCCUAUCCAAGCAAAAGAGUCAACAGAAACGAGUAUUUGACACUGUCAGGGUUGCUAACGUUACUCGUAGCCGCUCUUCUUCUUUUCCUGCUCCAUUACCAAUCCCUGGAUCUAAUAGGUCAAGUGUUGUUAUGACAGCAAAGCCUUUUCAGUCAGGCUUACAGAUGGAAAGCCAUGCACAGAUGAUCCAGAGGAGCAGCUCUGAGAAGAAUUUGAAGGGCAGACAUAAGCCUGGCCAGCCAGGAACUCCUGGAGACAGUGAUUUAGUCACAGCUCUGCACAGGCUCUCUCUCCGUCACCAGAACUAUCUGAGUGAAAAGCAGUUCUUUGAGGAGGAGUGGGAGCGCAAAAUGCAUUUGCUGAAUGAGCAGAAAGAAGGGGCUAGUGGUUAUAGUACACCAACAGAAAGUUGUUUUUCCUUGGGUACAAACUCAGAAUUCACCGAUCUCUCUGCCAGCUCCAGUAACCUCCGUGUCCUCCUACCAGAAAAACUGCAAAUUGUCAAGCCCAUCGAAGGAUCUCAGACCCUGUUUCACUGGCAGCAGCUUGCUCGACCCAACCUAGGCACCAUACUUGACCCAAGACCAGGUGUUGUUACAAAAGGUUUUACCCCUCUGACCGAUGACUCUGUGCACCGCAUCUCUGACUUGGAGGAGGAUGAUGAAGAAGGGGAAGGAGGUAUAACAUUUCAAGUGCAACAGUCCUUCCCGGAGAAAAAUAAGUCUGCAGUGGCAAAACCAGUGUCAGGGAUUUUCCUGUCACCUAUUGCUUCAGUAGCAGUACCACUCACUGCCUUGAAUCCUGGCAAGUGUCUGUCUUCAACAAAUUCCACGUUUACUUUCACUACCUGUAGAAUCCUUCACCCGUCCGAUGUCACCCAAGUUACUCCCAGCUCUACGUCUGCCCCACUUUCACUUGGAAAUAGUGGCAAGAGCUUUGGAAACCAUGUAGUGAGCACUCCAGCCAUGUCUUACAGGCUUAGUAUUGGAGAAUUUCUCACCAACAGAGGAGAUUCAACUACUACCCUCAGCAGUACCAGCAGUCUGGCUCAACUCUUGCAAGAGCGUGGCAUCUCUGCCAAGGUUUAUGAUAGUCCCCUAUUAGAUAAACUGCCUCUGCUUCAGCCCCCUCGUACAGUCCCCGUUCCUUCUACUCCGCCGAAUUCUCCUUCACGUUCACCUUGUCCUUCCCCUCCACCCUUUGAGUCUCGAGUGCAUCACUCAGAAAAUUUCCUGGCUUCAAGACCAGCAGAAACAUUCUUGCAGGAAAUGUAUGGCCUAAAGCCCUCCCGUAACGCUCCAGAAGUAGGCCAGCUGAAGAUGAACCUGGUGGACAGGCUGAAGAGGCUGGGUAUUGCCAGGGUCGUCAAGCCCCCUGAUACACAGGACCACAAGAAGAAUCAGGGGGCAGAGAUUAGCUUGCGGAGGCCAGACUCAGCUGUGUUUUUAAAUGCAGGUAGCAACUUAAUGGCAGGACUGAGAAGAAACCAGAGUCUUCCAGCCAUGAUUGGAGCAUUAGGAGCCCCAGUCUGCACACAGUCAACAAAAAUGGAUAUCCUAAAAGAGGACUGAUUGCUCUGGACACUGGCUUAGUAAAUAAUUCAAGAGGGAUAAGCAUCCAGUACAGAAAAGGUUAGGUGUGUUACAGAAGAGUUGGAGAAGGCAUGUGCAUGUUAAAAGGGGUGGAGAGAGAAGUGAUAGGGUCAAGGAGAAAAGAACAUUGCUUGGGUCUGGGAAAGAAGGCUUUUGUGGAAGAUAAGAAAAUAAACAAGAAACCAAAGCUUAGUUUUGAGAUCUCUCCAGCAUCUGUCUUAGCUUAAGUAAAAGUUCCACUGUAGACGUUUUCAGUAUUUUAACCUUUUAAACUGUACUUGUAGAACUGUCUUGCAGGUGCUGUUCUAUUUUUUCUACCAUAUGGCUAUAGUAUUUAUAAUUUGUUAGCAGUCAGGCUGUAUCAUUUAAAUACGAUAUUAAGAUAAUAAUCAGUCUGACCAGCACCAUUUGUCCAAGUUCUUUUCUGUAGCAAAUACAAAAACUUGGAACUACUUUAAUUCUAGUAUUUUCUAGCUCAGAGACUGCUCUUUUGAACUCCCCAUGUUGAGAAGCAGAAGUGAAAACCUUUAAUUUGGCAUUUGAGCACAAAAGUAAAUGAUCAGGAUUUGUUUUUUUGAAAGAGUGCAAUUGUGCUAGUGAGUUACUCACGGAAGUUAAUUUCUUUCUAGAGCUUCUGAAGCAUACAGUGGAAAGUGCAAUGAAUGAGAACUAAGAAGAAUAAAAGUAUGUAUUAGGGUAAAAAUUUCAAGCUAAGAGAUCUUUUUUUUUUCACAUACAAAGAAAAAUCUCAGGCAUGUUUCAAUAUUGCAAAAGGAAAUAAAAACUAGGUGCUUGAUUCAGAGUUUAUUUUAUUUAUUUGGCAUAAGCAGAGAGCAUUUACCUAAAUGCUUGAAAAAUAAGUAAUCUGAAUCUUGACAGCUAGGCAUUCUGUACAUUGGAGACUUUGGCAGCAACAUCAUGCCUUUUGUUCAGAUAUUUCUGAUUUUAGGCAGGAUUUUGUUUGAAAGGUUUCAUUAAGAUCAAAAUUUAUCAUUCUGUAUUCAGAAAACGGAAGAUGAAAGCCGGUGUUCUUUUGUAGCAUUUUAUGAAUGCAGAUCAAUUUGGCCUGUGUUGAAAUCAUGUUUGAAUGAUGAAAAGUGGCUCUGACCUUCCUUCUGAAUUAACAUUGAGGCAAACUUUUUGUCUCAAAAGAAAACACCACUGGAGAAAUCUGGUUCCAGAGUGACAUUCAGCAAAGUAUUAUUGCCUGUCCUGCUUUUUGAAUUCCUUCCUGACCAAGCUUCUAGUCAUAACUGAAUAAUCUACAAUAGAUUUAAAAUGUAUCUUAAGAAUAAAUAUUUGUCCCACAUUCCUUGGGGGAAUAGAUCUUUGGCAGUGAUCAGAAUGGAAACAGGUUCUUAAAUCUGUUUGUGAUUUUUUUUUUUUUCAGUGCACCUGACCUAUUUGAAUGAUUUUAAGGUUUGUUUCCAUAUAGUUAGUUAGAACAGCCAGUGUUUGUUUACCUUGGCUGUUAGAGUGUAUGUGGGACAUAGGUGGCAUCUUUCUGGAUGUAUGGUGUGAAGCACUGGCAUAAUUACACUGAUUUGCAUUUGGCAUGUGGCACAUCCACACCUUUGUUGCUGCAGGAUUGAUUAGAGUAGGGCAGGAAAAGAAAGCUUCUUAAACUGAUUUAUUAUGUGGCCUUUCUGCUUUUACAGCCCUGUGGAUCUCAUGAUGACUCUGAUAUAGCAGUCUUUUUUUGUAAAAGGAAAAGGACUAGCCACUUCAAACUUGCACAGGGACUCUCAGCAGAAAUUUGUCUGUCAGCAGCGCACAGAAGUAUUCAGGAACUCCUGGAGUUGCCUUUUGCUCUCUAAGAAUCUUAUGAAAGAAAGCAAAAUAUCUGCUGCGGAGAGAAGCAUCCAGAAGAAAAUUACAUCAGUUGAAGAAAACCACCAGCUCACUGCAGUUUAUCUCUGUGAUGAAAAUGUUACCCUAAGGUAAGCACUGCAGAAUUAGUGCGAGCAAACAACUGACACCAAUGAGAGUUAGUCUAAAAUGUGCAAAUGUUUACCUCACUGUGUGUGCUGUGGCCUCUAUGGCUGUCCACUUGUAACUUAUUGGUGCACUGUCCCACUGACAGGGGUGCUUGUACAGGUAACUGCAAUACAUGUGCCUCAGCAGCACACAAAGAACCUUCAAAACCUUACUGGUGGUUGUUGUUGCUUUACAUAUCUGUUACAAGACCAAGAGCAUUAGAGGUAGAGGGAAUUUCCUUUUUUCUUCAUAUGCAUGAGUGUAAUUAGUCUGCAGAGCUGCUGGGAUUCCUUGUGAAUCAGUGAAAUAGUUGCUUUAUAAGAGGAAACCAAUUAUAAAAGAGUUUGAAAGGGCACACAUUUAAUUCCUAUUUGAAAAAGAGUUGCCAAACUGAUUAUGUGAGGAGAUUCCUAGUAAGACCUUGCUUAUGAGAUGCAUUUAUCUUGCUGGAAAAUUCCCACAGAUUUUUUAUACCAUGUUCUCCUGGGGAAAUUAUUUCCCUCAGAAUAGGUAACUGUAGUUGCUGUAGUUUUUUUCCUUUAACUCUUUAGAGUUGCCUAUACAAGCAUGCUGUCAGAUUCUUCUGAUUUCAAAUCUCUGGGCUCACUUAAAUUUUGUCAGCAAUACAAGCUUAAAAGACAUUCCAGCCUCUACCCAAAGGAAAGGGAACUGUGCAACUUGUCAUUUGGCUGUAACUGGUCCCAAGCUGGCUGAUCUGCAGUGUGACAAGCAGGACAGUUAGAAUAGCAGGAGCCCAGGGUGUAUGUACAGAACAGAACGUUGCUGAAGAGUACAGGUGUGACGUAAAAGGUAAAGUACUGAACAGUAUGUGUGGAGAGAGAAUCUUGGAUGAAAAUCCAAAGUAAAAAAGGUCACACUGGUAGCAAAGAGUGAAGAAAUAUUCAGCAGAGGAAUCUAGGGAAUUACUUACAUUCCAAAAAUGGUUCAACUGAAGACUUAUCUAAAAUCAGCUAUAUAGUCACCUACAUUAAUAUCGUUACUGUGCACAUAGUAAUCAGAGGAGGUAAUAUGUCUUUAAAGAGCUGUUCACUUAUCUAGUAAAAUCUUUUUUUGCUAUGCCUACAACAGAGACUUAAAGUCAGCAAGGUGAGUGAACAUAAGCAUAAUGCUGCACCUAUGCAAUUGAUUGGAAUGUUAAGAGUACUGUAGGUAAAGGAUACUGUGAAAUGCAGGUCACAGCUCAGGAUGCUGGAGGACAAGUUCUUGACUUGUUUUUGAGAAAGAUUGAGACUAAGUCUGAAUGAUUUAAAGCAGAGAGGUGUGUAAGAAAAUACUGAUGAGAUGAUGCAUUCUAUAAAAUUUGUAGUCCCACGUCUUUUAUUUUAUGAAAAGUUAAACAUAAAGUACACAAGGCUUUAUAUGAAUUUGUAUUUGAAAAGUAUCUUAACAAAACAACAGCAAUGUAUGGUAGGUACAGCUGGAAGGGCCUUCAAUCUAUUGUAAGUUUGCAAACUGGAGACCAGCUUUCAAGUAUAAAAAGCAUCACCUAAAUUAACUCUUACAUUCAUAAAGCUUUUAUUCCUUAUCUGUUACCAAUAAAAACAUUCAUAUAUAUAUAUAUAUAUUCUGCUAGGAGCAGACUGAUGUUUUACUGAAUUCUCAGCUGAGAUGAGUGGUUUUCAUGUUACUGCAGUGCUCUCUGUCUCUGCUCCCAUUUAGUUUACAGGAAAUAUAAGUUUUUUCCUCAGUGUGAAACUGGGCUGUGGCAUUUGCUUUCCUGCAUUCUGCUUGUCAAUCUUGCUGCUCACCUCUUGAUUCACUGCUGUCAGUAUGGUGAGAAUAUCUUCUCCUCUGCAAAAAAUACAGGCAGUUUUGUGUUAGAGUAUUUGUAUGUAACAUCAGAAAAGUUACUGUGUUCUUAUAUAUCAUCUUGACCUGUGCAACUGCUAAUGGCUCUUCCUUUAAACCAUCUUUAAAGCAGUUGGGUGAACUGCUUCAAACAGUCAGUGUUGCUAUUCUACAUUGCUCUUUUCACUUUGAGUGAUCACUCCCAGUGCACGUUAUCUACCUCUGCAUUCAAAUCAAACUUGUGUCCUCCAAAAGGAAGAUAAAAGGUGUUGCUAAAAAGUAUCUUAGGAAGUAUAGUUACCGAGGACAGCUGUUCUCCAAGUGUUGGCACAGUGACUGUAUGUACCAGGUCCCCUGGCUUGGGCUUCUGUAGGAGACGUAAUCUUGCAGGGUAGCCAUGCCCAAGAGGAAGUCUGCCUCUGAGGGGAUGCAGUCCAGCUGAAAUCUUGCAUCCGUUUCUAAAGAAUGAUCUUGCUGCCCGGAAUCUGUUUCAAUGGUUACACCUUUCUGAUAAGCACCACCUUGGCAAGCCUGAACGAAGAAGACUUUUGGUUUUCCAGCAAGUGACUGGCAAUUUUGCCCAGUGAAAGAAGUGGUCAGUUCCUGGAUAGGUACUUCCUGCCCAUCAACACCGUAUAUGAUGCCUUUUUUUCCAUGAGAGAGAAUACAGCAAACAAAACAGUCUUUGUUGUUGUGGUCCAUGCACCGAUAGUUGUUCACUAUCUUACGGAUUUCCUCUGCAGUGCAGUCUUUGUAUUCUGCUACUGUAAAAUGAAGGUUGCUGAAGACUUUUCUCAGAGCAUCUGGAAAGUAAACCAAGGAGUAUUUAAAGCAGUUUUCUAAAAUUACAAAUAAACUCUUUUUUUUUUUUUUUUUUUUUUUUUAAAUCCUGCCAUCCUGUUAUCCAGGUAUUUACAGUUUUUAUCUGAAAAUAAUGUAGUAGUCUGAUCACUAAUCAUAUUUGUUUUACAUUCCCUUCUCUCUCAAUAAAAGAAUUCCUUGUGA